GUAGGUGGCAAGCGUUGUCCGGAAUUAUUGGGCGUAAAGCGCGCGCAGGCGGUUCUUUAAGUCUGAUGUGAAAGCCCACGGGCUCAACCGUGGAGGGUCAUUGGAAACUGGAGAACUUGAGUACAGAAGAGGAAAGCGGAAUUCCACGUGUAGCGGUGAAAUGCGUAGAGAUGUGGAGGAACACCAGUGGCGAAGGCGGCUUUCUGGUCUGUAACUGACGCUGAGGCGCGAAAGCGUGGGAGCAAACAGGAUUAGAUACCCUGGUAGUCCACGCCGUAAACGAUGAGUGCUAAGUGUUAGGGGGUUUCCGCCCCUUAGUGCUGCAGCUAACGCAUUAAGCACUCCGCCUGGGGAGUACGGCCGCAAGGCUG
rnacentral:rRNA from 1 species